rnacentral:lncRNA from 1 species
AAGGAGGUCGCGUCGGCAUCAGGCCAUCAACGUCGCGCCCAGGACAACACUUGCUGCAGCCAAGAAACCCUAAGUAUAUCUCUAUUCGUUCAUCCCCUUAGUCUUAGGGUUGCCCCUAAGACGACGUAGAUACCACCUCCUGACACCGCCGUACCGGAAAGCACUUUUCCGGUACGGGCAGAGCCAGCAGCAUUCCAGGUUCAGAAUUGAACCCAAAGGCAGAAAUCACCAUUCUGAGAGUUGAACGUCGCCAUCCAUGAUUUAGACAUACCAUUCCAUGGCCUGUGCAUGCGCGUCCGUGUCCUUCACUACGUUGCCAUCACGUCCACCAACGCACACUUGACAUCCGUCCUGUCCAGAGCCGUCGUCGCGAGCUUCGACAACAUGAAUGUAAGCAACAUUCGGAACAUCCGUCCUGUUUGCGUGGGAUUGUCGUCCUCCCGCCGGCGGAAAAGCCACUCAACGUAUUGCUUAAGAAUUCCUACCCAAGCCUAUAACACAAACAUAAUAACAUUGUCCUAGCAUUCCAUAGCCCUACUUGACUUGCCUACAAGUCCACAGCAACGAGUUGCCCCGGUCGGACCCUCCAAGUCUAGCCCAGUAGCUUACUGUGGGCUGACGUUAGUGAACAUGGAAUGCAAGCUGUGUGUGUGCUCAUCCCCUUUGAAAAAGGUUCGACUACGACUUGACACACAGACUCCCUCCUGCAACAAAUGCCCAUUUUCCGUACGAGCGUGACGAGCAACAUAAGAGAUCCAGAACCGACCACACCGGCAGAAUUCAUCGUUCAGUUCCUUAAACCUUCAUUUACGGUUUCCCUACAAACAGCUCCAUGCCUUGGAUAUGCGUCUGUUUUCUUCCUUACGAACAUCACAUUUUACGUUCGUCAGGGCCAGAGUCUUUGUAGCAAUCUUUCAUAUUCAGCACGUAAUGAACCCG